UCUUCAGGUAGGCUUGUCUUUUCAACUGUUUAUUCCUUUCCAAGCCUUUCACCUCUCUUUGUUAAAAAGCAGGUAAAGAAGCAAUCUUCUUCUCUCUGAUCCAAUGGUUAACAAAAUAAGGGCAAUCUUCUUCUCUCUAAUCCACUGGUUUACAAAAUAAGGGGUUUAUAAACUGUUUGUUACUAAAAACCUGGGGUGCUUCUGCCUGCUCUUUUUUACUGAAACACUUGUGUCAAGGGGGGUAAAUAAAGAAAUGUGUCUUCAUUUAGGCAUGUCUUUUCAAGGGUUUAUUCCCUUAAAAGCCUUUCACCUCUCUUUGUUAAAAAGUGGGGAAAGAAGCAAUCUUCUUCUCUCUAAUCCACUGGCUUACAAAAUAAGGGGACUUUAAACCGUCUUACUAAAAACCUGGGGUUUUAAACCUAGGGUGCUUCUGCAUAAUUUUUUAUUACAACACAUACAAAAGGGUUGUGUCUUAGGUUUGUCUUUUCGAGUCAUUAUGCCUUUGCAAAACUUAAUGUAAUUGUAACUUGUGUUUGUUAAAAAGUUUGGGAAAGAAGCAGCCUUCUUAUCUCUGAUCCACUGACUCACAGAGGCUGCUUUGCUAACAGGUGCUUUGCUGCAGUUUCACAUUGUUUUUACUAAAAAAAGUGUUGUCCUCUACAAAACUUAAUAUAACUUUCACUUGUAUGUGUUAAAAAACAGGCAAAGAAGCAGCCUUCUUAUCUCUGAUCUACUGGUUUACAGAGGCUGUUUUUGCUGACAGCUGCUCUGCUGCAAAAGCCUGCUGUCUUUACUAAAAAAUGACCAGUGCUAGCCUAAACCUAGGGGAAAAACGUUCUGUGUUUUUAAGCCUGGGUUGUUUCUGCGGACUUGCAUGUUAUUGAAACACCUAUGCCUAAGGGGCUAAAUGAAGGUUAUGGGUCUUCAGGAUUGGUUCCGGAAAAUGAAUUCUAUGACGCUGCUGUAAAACCACCUCUGAUUGGGCCGAUCCAAAGGCGGUGAUAACAAGUCUGAGAGGGUCUGAAC